rnacentral:lncRNA from 1 species
CUCCAAUCAUACAUUUCUAGUGGGCUUAGAAACAGAGCAUUAUUAUGCUCCUGGGCCACAGAGUUGGGUGUGCGACCUAAUUCCCUUGGCAAAUAUUCCCGUGGCACGUGACUAAAGACUAGCCAAUCAGAGUUCUUUCCUGAGAAAUGCGUAAGUUUUACAAGUGGGGAGAGUUCUCAUUCAUUUUUGGUCACAGAGCUGCGAGAACGUGUUCAAGAGCUACAGUCAGCCGUAUCCUCUACCAUGUAGAAUGUCCGAGAGAAUGAAAAAGACAAAAGCUGAAGGGAAGAAGAGGAAGAGAACCAUAUCAGCAGACAGAGGUGGAAAAAAGAAGCCACGGAAAGAGGUUGGUGGUGGGAUGCUCAUGUGUGCUGUCAGGCUCUUGACGCUGCAAGGACCAGCGCCUCACUCAGGUCGCCUUCGGGAAAAGUGCAAGGACACAUGUGGGUUGCUGUGAAGAGCCAAUAAGACAAUGCCCGUGAAACUCUUAGCCUACCUCCCGGCACAGAUAAGUGCUCUUUGAAUGCUAGUUGCCAUGGCUGUGUCAUCAUCAUCAUCAUCAUUGUUUUCAUUAUGAUACUUUCAAGUUUUCAGGCUGGUAGCUUUCCUAGGAAGGUCAGUGGUGCCCACUGGACCCUCUCUUGGCUUAUUGGCUGAGUUCAUUGAUGAAGAAGCCUUGAGUUCAUCAUUUUUUCUUCUCUAAUGACUGAGAUGGCAGUCAAUGAAGAAUGACUGCAGAAAGUUUCAGAAGGACACAUGGGAAUCAUUUCACCAGCCCAAUAAAAUCAGCUAUUUAUGUGGAGCCUGACUCCCCUGCCCUUGAGUGUGGGCUGAACGGAGUGGCUCCCUUCUAAUGAGAGAAUUCGGCGGAAGUGAUGGUUUGUGACUUCCAAGACCAGGUCAUAAAAGACAUUGCACUUCCUCCUUGUCCUCCCUGGUGAACUGUGGAUUGCUCGCUCUGGGGGAAGCUGGCUGCUAUGUCAUAAGAUCACUCAAACAGCCCUAUGGAGAGGACCUCAUGGCAAGGAACUGUGGAGUCCUGCCAUCCAUCAACAAAGCACUGGGGCCCUCCGGCAAGUAACCACUGAGUGAGCCAAAUCGGGAGUGAAUCUUCCGGCCCCAGUCAAUCCUCAAAAUGAUUACAGCCCCAGUUGACAUCUUGACGCCUCCUCACGAGAAACCCUGAGCCGGAGCCAUCCUCCUAAACUGCUUCCACAUUCCUGACCCUCAGAAACUGGCCCCCCACGUUGACUUGGAGCUGGGAAUCUGCCAGGGCUGCAAUAGAAAAGUGUUCUGACGUCCCAAGGUGGAAUUCUGAAUGGAUUUACCGUAGAAACAUAGCUCCAUGCAUAGUUGUAUAUGUACAUAUACAUAUGUAAAUAC